ensembl:lncRNA
CAGCCCGGUCUACAGAGCGAGUUCCAGGACAACCAAGGCUACACAGAGAAAUCCUAUCUUGAAAAACAAAAAAAGAAAUCUACCAUGGUAUCAGACAUCAUAACCAGUUGUCCUAACUCUAUUCUCAACACAGAAUAAUUUGUAGCCUGUGAGUUUUCAUGACCUUGGCAGGUAAACUGCUCUUUCAUUUGGGUUAGUCCAGUUUUUCCUCCUGAUUGGACCAUCCUUUCGCACUUCCACCAUAGACAUCCCAGAAAUGAGACUGUUUUCUGGUCCUGUACAGUGUAGUUAAAACCAUGACAUAUUAGUGUCAGACACCUGACUGAGGUAUUUAGUCCAUAUUGGGGGAGGAAAGAUACUUUUGAGACUUUGAGCAUCUUUUUUGUUUUGCUUUUUUUUUUUUUUUUUUUUCAAAGACAGGAUUUCUCUGUAGCUUUGGAGCCUGUCCUGGAACUUGCUCUGUAGACCAGGCUGGCCUGGAACUCACAGAGAUCCACCUGCCUCUGCCUCCCAAGUUCUGUGAUCAAAGGUGUGAGCUACCACCACCUGGCUUUUUUUUUUUUCUUUUAUCUCUUUGUUAUAGUAUAGUCAUUUGUGUUCUGCUGCCUAGCCCCAUAUCCUAACUGGGGAUUCUAGGCAGGUGCUCUACCACUGAGCCACACCCCCAGCCCCUCACUGUGGGAUUCUAGGCAGGUGCUCUACUACUCAACCACACUCCCAGCCCCUCACUGGGGGAUUCUAGGCAGGUGCUCUACCACUCAGCCACACUCCCAGCCCAUAGAAGACCCUCUUGUAAAAGGGGCUUGAGCAUCUCAGCAUCCCUGGAUUGGAUGAUGGUAGAAAUUCUUGAACCGGUCUCCCCAAGGACAGCUGUACUUAGAGACCUUGAUAGGUGACUGAUAGAUGGGCCCACUGCCAUUUGAUGGGUGCAUAUCUACAUCCAAAUGUUCAUUUUCGAGCCUGUGUGGUUUUUUGUCUUCAUAGAUUACACGUUUGUUUACACCUCGAAGUAGUGUCCAGAGAGGCAUAUGUUACCCUCCUAGCCUUUCGCGUUACUAUAUUUGUAUUUCCCUUCUUCAAAAAGCCAGAAACAGAGGCAGCAAAGUGGCUAAGUAGUUAAGUGUACCUGCUACCAGUCCUAAAGACCCGAGUUUCAUCCCUGGGAUCCAUAGGUGCCCAGGGUGAUAAGAUUAUGACAGCAACUGUAAAACGCAGAAAUGCCAAUGAAGGGUCUGAAUAAACUUACAAGCCAAGGAAAUGGAACAGCACCAUGGCCCAUGCAUGACUGCGCGCACGCACACGCGAGCGCGCGCGCACACACACACACACACACACACACACACACACACACACACACAGUUAAAUUACCAAAAAAAGAAAGAAUCCUAGCUUUCCUUGUCAUCAGUAUCAUAAUUUGCUCAUUUGUCUACAUCUGUCUAGUUUGUUCUAAUCUUCCCACAGAGCUGGGCUCCCCUCAGCAUUUGCUUAUUUACUUAUGGGCCAGGGUAGCCUUGAACUCAGAGAUCUGCCUGCUGAGAUUAAAGGUGUGAACCUGAACUCCCCUCAGCUGUUAUUUAUUUGGUUAUUUUAUGGGCCAGGCUUGAACUCACAGAGAUCUGCCUGCCUCCGGAUGCUGAGAUUAAAGGUGUGAGCCACCAAGCCUAGAUCAUCUUUGCUUUAUUCAUUUGUUGGCUUUGUUUUUAGAUUUUUACUUUAUUUUUAAUUAUGUAUGUGUGUAUGGGUAUGUGAGAGUAGAUCCCUAUUGAUCUAGAGGCAAAGGCAGGACAAUCUCUGAGUUCCAGGCCAACCUGGUCUACAUGGUAAAUUCCAGGACAGCCAGGACGACAUAGACAAAAUGAAAGAAAUAACAAAUCAAUUUUUUGUUAUAUUCAUUUGUGUAUUCUUGUUGUUUUGAGAUAAGGUUUCUCUGUGGCUUU